CAAAUUAUAGUCUAAAAAGGACUUAGAAUUUUCAUUUCUAGAGUAAAUAAAAUUUUUAUUUGA
rnacentral:tRNA from 1 species